GUAAAAUUUUACAAUUUGAUAAAAAAUAUGUAUAAGAAUACUGAUGAAGCUUCAGUAAAAUUAAAGGAGAAUAUAUCUGAAUAUGUCUCUAUUGACAGAGGAGUGAAACAAGGGGAUAAUAUGAGUCCAAACUUAUUUAAUGUUUAUAUAAAUGAUCUACCAGAAAUAUUUGAUGAAAGUUGUAAACCAGUGACUCUGCAAAAUAUGUCAAUCAGCUGCCUUAUGUUUGCAGAUGACAUUUUGUUAUUAUCUGAAACUCCUGAAG
rnacentral:lncRNA from 1 species